GCCAGCUGCUAAACUGCUGACUCUCCCAGGAUGCUCAAAAGGUACCUGCGGUAUAGUGGUGUACGCAGAGAAUCUUGCACGUCCCAGAUGCAGAAAAUAAGGUAGCAUCUCUGAUCUUGAGGAAUGUUGGAAGACAAAGUUAAGGAUUUCUCACAGUCUUUAGAUUCAGAAGGUUCUUCUCCAGUGUGCCUGCUUUUAUGUCUAUGUGGGUUUGAUGAGUCAACAGAGGCUUCCUUGUCACUACAGCAUCUGUAGUUAUUGGAGGUUUCUGUAGUGUCACUUCUUUUAUAAAGUACACAGUUUGGGGGUUCAUGAAGCAUUUCACCAAGCUCACUACACUGACAAGACUCCUUUUCGGUGUUCACAUGUUGAGGGACAGUAUCCCAUGUACAGUCCUUUAAAAACAAAUCAGAUUAAUAGGGUUUGUUCCAAAAUUAAACAUUUGAUAAAUGGUUGUCUCCAUAAGCUCUUUCUUACAAUAAGUCAACCAGCAACUACUUAGAUGUGUUUCUUUUACUGUAAUUUUAUGUAUUCCCACAACAAUGGCCUGACAGCCUUCAAGGGUCUGUGAUUUACAAUAGAUAUCUCAUCAUUAUAGAAAAUGUAUACUGGCUCAAGAUGGACCAAAUAAUUGAGGAGUUAGUAACUGGUUUUGGGGUGGAGCUCAAAUGGCUGAUUGUACUUAGAAUACAUGUUUCUAUUCAGAAACUGGUGACAAAUUUAAUGAAAUCCCAGGUUCACAGUGUUUGUACUCAAUAAUACACAGUAACAAAGAUUACUGUCCGAGCCGGGCGUGGUGGCGCACGCCUUUAAUCCCAGCACUCGGGAGGCAGAGGCAGGUGGAUCUCUGAGUUCAAGGCCAGCCUGGUCUACAAAGUGAGUUCCAGGAUAGCCAGGGCUACACAGAGAAACCCUGUCUGGAAAAACCAAAAAAAAAAAAUUAAAAAAAAAUUACUGUUCAAGAAAUCUAAAUCUUUCUACUACUUACUUAAAAGCAUCAACACAUUUGUCUGUUUGGUUUUUUUUUUAUUGUUUUGUUUUUGUUUUUGUUUUGCUUUGGUUUGGUUUGGUUUUUGGUUUUUUGAGACAGGGUUUCUCUGUAUAGCCCUGGCUUUCCUGGAACUCACUCUGUAGACCAGGCUGGCCUUGAACUCAGAAAUCCACCUGCCUCUGCCUCCCAAGUGCUGGGAUUAAAGGCGUGUGCCACCACACCUGGAUGUUUUGUUUUGUUUUGUUUUGUUUUGUUUUUUCUUUAAAAAACACACUAUAUUAUUGAAAAGUAAUGGAAGCAAAGCAAGUAUUUUUCAGAUAUCAGAGACUUUAGAAUACAGAGCCUAGAUUAUUUGAGGGAGGGCUGUCAGGUGUAGCGAUUGCUUAUUUCUUUCCUACACUGUCUGAAUUACAUAUAUUGCCAGAUAUCUUUAUUUUUCUUAUAUGGUUAUUCUCAAGCUUACUCUGUACAAUAAUUCUUGAGAUUAUUUUCCAGAAGGGUGUUGGUGUAUUCUCCACUAGAAAGAAAAUGAAGGAUGUAAUAUGAAGACAUGCAUGCAAAAAAAGUAAAUCAUGGGGGCUGGAGAGAUGGCUCAGUGGUUAAGAGCUCUGACUUCUCUCCCAAAGGUCCUGCGUUCAAUUCCCAGCAACUACAUGGUGGCUUACAACCAUCUGUAAUGGGAUAUGAUGCCUUCUCAUAAGUCUGAAGACAGCUAUAGUAUACUCAUAUAAUUACAGAAUGUUACUUUGUGGCUUCAUGUCAGACUCAUAAUUUUGUAAAUUAUUCCAAUCUGAUGUCAUCAUAAUCAAGGAAAAUUCCAUUUUGUACUAGUGUUAAGUUGAUAAUUCAGGUGCAAUAAGGCACAAUAUCUUCAACUAGUUACAACAAGCAGGAUACAUCCUGGAGGCACAAUAUUAAGCUAAAUGAUUGGGAAUCAUUUCAGGUGGAAUUCAAUGUAGCAAACAUAUUUUCAGCUUUUGCUUUCUCCUUCACCUGAAACCUUUACUAUUGUCCUACUCAUUCACUAGCUCACCCUAGUAGUGAACCAGAUGAGGCUACUCUCUCUCUCCUCUCCACAUUCCAUGGUAAACUCAAUUGGUCCAGACAGGUAACCAGGUCUACCUUGUAUACAAAAAUCCACAUAUAUUCUGUGACCCAUGCAAUGAUUUUUUUUUUAAAGAAUACAGAUGUCUAACACAACACUAUGCUCAGUCCAUGAAGACAACACCAAGUAGAGACAUCCAGGAAUGAUUUCCCAAUUCUAUUUCCUGUCACAAUCUUAAGUUUUCUUGGGGAGACUUUUAAGUGUUUAUAUGAUGAGUUUUUCUUCUCACAAUUAAAAUCCUGUAAUUACAAUUAUGGACAUGGAGCUGUAAAACAUGGAGUUAAAUAUUAUAUGAUAGUAUGUUUCUUAAUGCAUUGUGAAAACCAAAUAAAGGUUGCAUGAUUCCUCUAGAAUGAGAAAUGGAAUGAAUAAAUCAUAUACCCUG
ensembl:lincRNA 9330136K24Rik RIKEN cDNA 9330136K24 gene